GGCUGCUUGGCCCAAUGGUAAGGCGUCUGACUACGACCGAGUGUGCACAACACACUUGACACAGUUAUCAGGAGAUUCUGGGUUCGAGCCCCAGGGUGGUCA
rnacentral:tRNA from 1 species